rnacentral:tRNA from 1 species
GGCCGUGCACCCCGCCUGACCAGCGGAAACAUCUGCGCCUGAAAAGCGGAAGGUCGCCGGUUCGACCCCGGCCCUGGCCA